rnacentral:piRNA from 1 species
UAGGUUCCCAUAAGUAGUUUACAUGCC